GAAAGGAACCCAAGAACUGCUAACUCCAACUACUGAUAUUAAACGAUCAGGCCUUUCC
rnacentral:tRNA from 1 species